AUCUAAUGUAUUUCAGUACAAUGCAGUCACGAUUUACCAGUUGAUGUUCAAUGUUGGAACAAGACUCAGAUCCCAGAAGUAGUUUAGUCAAGAUGGAUGACAGGGGUGACAGUGCUCCUUGCAGCCUUCUGCUUCACCAGGGGUACAGCUAUCCUCAUGGAGCUCACAAUACCGGCCUUCGCAAUUACAUUCAGGAUUCCCACACUGGAUUACAACCUGCCUUCAUAUAUGAGAUGUUGAAGCUUUCAAUGAGGUCACACCAGACACUGACAAGCGCUGAUGGAGAAGGGUAAAAAGAAUUCCUGGGUGUCCCUGGGCAACAUAUAUUACAAAAGACCCUGAAAGUAAUCAGAGGAAACGUACAUCUGGCAAAAAGAGAAUUUUUUUCAAGUUCUGAAAAUAUUUCAAAGCAAAACCAUUGCAGAGAUCCAUCGAGGAGGCCUCACCAGCAGAAGACAUGCCUACCUAGAGUCCCUUGGAAACCUGUUUGACUCAGGUGGAAAUGACCUACUGGCAUUUAUUUGUAAUUGCCCAGCAUGGCAGUUGCUGAGGAAGGAAAAGCUGUUGAGUCAUACGGCAAGCCGCUUUUCCACUUUUGUCUAGUUGCCCAGAGGGUAGAGUGGGACAGUCAGAAGGCUGAGAUUCUGUUUAUGCCUCUGACACUGAUUUCCCAUACGACCUUGGCAAGUACUACUUCUUGUGCCACUGUUUCCCCAUUUCUUAAUAGAUAAAACCACUCCCUUGACUCAUGGGACAAUCAUAAGUGCACAGCAAGGAACAUGUUUGUUUAACUAAUGAAAGGUAAGAGAGAAGAGUGAAGAGUUAUUAUUGUUGUCAUAUAAUACAAAAGCAGUUAUGUAACAACAUCAGUAUUGCUUCAUUUUAGCCAUUAUGACAUAACAAACUGUCAGAGGCAUACUGUCUGACAUAGUAUCUUCAUC